GAUGAACGCUGGCGGCGUGCCUAAUACAUGCAAGUCGAGCGAACGGACGAGAAGCUUGCUUCUCUGAUGUUAGCGGCGGACGGGUGAGUAACACGUGUAUAACCUACCUAUAAGACUGGGAUAACUUCGGGAAACCGGAGCUAAUACCGGAUAAUAUUUUGAACCGCAUUGGUCAAAAGUGAAAGACGGUCUUGCUGUCACUUAUAGAUGGAUCCGCGCUGCAUUAGCUAGUUGGUAAGGUAACGGCUUACCAAGGCAACGAUGCAUAGCCGACCUGAGAGGGUGAUCGGCCACACUGGAACUGAGACACGGUCCAGACUCCUACGGGAGGCAGCAGUAGGGAAUCUUCCGCAAUGGGCGAAAGCCUGACGGAGCAAGGCCGCGUGAGUGAUGACGGUCUUCGGAUCGUAAAACUCUGUUAUUAGGGAAGAACAUAUGUGUAAGUAACUGUGCACAUCUUGACGGUAACUAAUAAGAAAGCAACGGCUAACUACGUG
rnacentral:rRNA from 1 species